UUCCCACUGGCACAAUGUGGUUCUGGAACCGGAGAUAUGGUGACUUUGGGCUGUAUUGCCACCGGUUUCACGCCGGCCUCUUUGACCUUCAAAUGGACCGAUGCGAGCGGGACAGCCAUGACGGAUUUCGUUCAAUACCCGGUUGUACAGAGCAACGGAAAGUACUCUGGAGUCAGUCAGAUACGUGUUCGGAAGCAAGACUGGGAAUCGAGAAAGAAAUUCCAGUGUGCUGUGGAUCAUUCUACUGGUGAAAAAAGUGCUGGGAUUGAAAAAAAAAGUUGAAUUCCUGCAGUCUCCGUCUCUUUACAUAAUGGCCCCCUCAAAACAGGAGAUACAAGACAAUAAGACGGCUUCCUUUGCCUGCUUUGCCAUUGACUUUUCACCCAAAAAUCACGAGAUCAAAUGGAUAAAAAAGCAGAAUGACAAAGAGAUAGCUUUUGAGAAGAUAUCUGAGUUCAGCACAACUUUUGAGACUAAAAUUAUUGGAGGGAAAACUCUGUACAGAGCAGCCAGCUAUCUCCAGGUCAAAGAAGCUGACUGGACAGAUGCAAAUGUCAAGUUCACAUGUGUCUUUGACCCAAAAUCUGCAAAAUCUUCAACACAAGAAAAACUGGUGGAGUAUUCAUCCUCAGAUGGUGAGUUGGAAUGUCCUAUGGCAGACAUUCAGAUAAUCCCGCCUUCAGCAGAGGAUUUCCUCCUCCAGAAUGAGGACCCUAAAAACAAGAAGGUUCAGCUUACAUGUCAAGUCACACAGUUAGUCAACAAAUGCCUAAAAAAUAUUACAUGGGAAGAUAAUAAAGGAAAUCCACUUACAAGUCUGAAGGAAAGUAAUAUCGCCAAACUACUCAUUCCAUAUGAAGAGUGGAAAAGUGGUGCAAGAUUUCAGUGUGUUGCAAUAGACUACCUUGGCGAUAAAGUCGUGAAAAAGUACAGUAGAGAAAACGGAGGAACAUGGCAGCGUCCAUCUGUUUUUCUCCUGGCUCCAGCAGAAAAAAUCAACAGUGAUGUGACCCUGACUUGCUACGUCAAAGACUUCUACCCUAAAGAGGUUGUAGUUGUAUGGCUCGUUGAUGAUGAGCUUGUGUCAGACAGUUCAGACAAGUUCUCGUUCAACACCACAAGCGUUAUUGACACAGGCAACACCUACUCUGUCUACAGUCAGCUCACUAUGGAAUCUGAUGUGUGGACAAAGAAUGAUCUAAUAUUCAGCUGUGUAGUUUACCAUGAAACCAUUCCAAAGACAACAAAUAUGCUUGUCCGAACCCUGGACAGCACCUCAAACAAACCCAAUCUAGUCAACCUCAAUCUAAACAUCCCUCCCUCCUGCAAAGCCCAGUAGAGGUUGUGUUCUGUGCUAUGUGUGUCAUGCUCUGCUUAUUGUGUUUGUUGUCUAUGAAAUUACAUGUUAUAUGUCUUUUAAGUGCAGUAUCAAAAACAAAAUAAAAAGUUGAAUUCAUAAUUA